AGAGCUGUGGUGUAGUGGCUAUCACGUCUGCUUCACACGCAGAAGGUCUUGGGUUCGAUCCCCAACAGCUUUA
rnacentral:tRNA from 1 species